AGUAAGAUAAGCUAAAAAAGCUAGUGGGUUCAUACCCCAAAAAUGAAUUAAUUCUCUUACU
rnacentral:tRNA from 1 species